GUUCCUGCCUUGAUGAUAAUGGACUGAGCCUCUGAACCUAUGGGGGAAACUGAGGAAAGGCAUGGGUGAUGGAAAGUAGACUUCACAACUGCUUGCUCGCUGGCCCCAUGAUGUCCUGACACCAGAUUCUGGACUCCUGGAGGCUGCAUGUGAAGCCCAGCACGGUCAGUGACAGCUAUGCCUGGUACAAGUGUUGUAUAAAGGAUACCAAGCAUCCACUGGGCUUCCGGGCACCUUCCUUUCAGACUAGAGGUUCUGGGUUCCAACAGCAUACACAGGAGGACAACCAUCAGAGACCAUGGACAGGGCCAGAUCACAUGCCCUGGAAAGACGCUAGGGUCUGGCUGCUGAACUAUCGCUUAUGAAUUUAGAAGGACUUUGACAAACUACUCAACCCUUUACUGUUCAGCAACCUCAUUCAAGAUGUUCUUGAUGAUCAGGCAGGUCGAUGUCUGAUUUGACCUGAUCUCAUUGAUGACUGGUCCCUACUGUGUGGGCCUCAAGCACAGACCAGGCUGCUACUGUGUGGCUUCUGAGAGCCCCGGGGCUUGGCCAGUAUCCCCAGCCUUUUGGGAUGAAGAACAGACUGGAGGCUGGACUGUCCCAACAGCUUCAAAAUGAGGCUGAUCACCAACCAGGACAGCCAACAAGGCAGGUCUACUGUGUUAGAAUGGUUAGCCCCACUGCCUACCCUCUGUGAAAAUUAGAGACUGAGCUAAUUACCAAUGGUCAGAGGUAUAAUCAAUCACUCUUGCCCGUG